CCGCAGGGAAGCCGUUAAGUUUGCCGCCUGGGAAGUACGUACGCAAGUAUGAAACUUAAAGGAAUUGGCGGGGGAGCACCACAAGGGGUGAAGCCUGCGGUUCAAUUGGAGUCAACGCCAGAAAUCUUACCCGGAGAGACAGCAGAAUGAAGGUCAAGCUGAAGACUUUACCAGACAAGCUGAGAAGUGGUGCAUGGCCGUCGCCAGCUCGUGCCGUGAGAUGUCCUGUUAAGUCAGGUAACGAGCGAGAUCCUUGCCUCUAGUUGCCACCAUUACUCUCAGGAGUAGUGGGGCGAAUUAGCGGGACUGCCGUAGUUAAUACGGAGGAAGGAGAGGCCACGGCAGGUCAGUAUGCCCUGAAACUCUGGGGCCACACGCGGGCUGCAAUGGUAGUGACAAUGGGUUCCGAAUCCGAAAGGAGGAGGCAAUCCUCAAACGCUACCACAAUUAUGACUGAGGGCUGCAACUCGCCCUCACGAAUAUGGAAUCCCUAGUAACUGCGUGUCAUUACCGCGCGGUGAAUACGUCCCUGCUCCUUGCACACACCGCCCGUCGUUUCAUUGAAGUUUGCCUUAAACGAGGUGACGUCUCAUUGGCGUUAUCGAAUUUGA
rnacentral:rRNA from 1 species